rnacentral:miRNA from 14 species
AUCCCGGAUGAGCCCCCAAAUGAAAGCUCCCCGAAGAGACACUCUUACUCAAGUCUUGGGAAAUCGUGGACCCCAGACAUAGAGAGACCA